rnacentral:rRNA from 1 species
GACCCUACGGGACGCAGCAGUGGGGAAUAUUGGGCAAUGGAGGAAACUCUUACCCAGCAAUGCCGCGUGAAUGAAGAAGGUCUUCGGAUUGUAAAGUUCUUUAAUUGGGGACGAAAAAAAUGACGGUACCCAAGGAAUAAGCCCCGGCUAACUACGUGCCAGCAGCCGCGGUAAUACGUAGGGGGCAAGCGUUGUUCGGAUUUAUUGGGUUUAAAGGGUGCGUAGGCGGAAUGCCAAGUCAGCGGUAAAAUCGCGGGGCUCAACCUCGCUCCGCCGUUGAAACUGGCGUUCUUGAGUGGGCGAGA